rnacentral:rRNA from 1 species
CGCUCCUUGCAAAAUUAUUGAUGAAUAAGGAGUUCUGCCUGCCCAGUGACUUAGUUAAACGGCCGCGGUAUUUUGACCGUGCAAAGGUAGCAUAAUCAUUUGCCUCUUAAAUAGAGGCUGGUAUGAAUGGCAAGACGGAGGUUAAGCUGUCUCUUUCUUAAUACUAGAAUUUAAUAUUUUUGUGAAGAAGCAGAAAUAAAUUCGUAGGACGAGAAGACCCUAUCGAGCUUUAACAAAUUUGUUAAUAAUUAGCUAAUACAAGGAAUCUAAUUAAGUUAUAUUAUAAUACAAUAAAUUUAGUUAUUUGUAUGUUAUUAUCUAAUAGAAUAGUUUUGAUUGGGGCAAUCGCGGAGUAAAAAAAACCUCCGUUAAAAGUAUUAAAAAUUACUAUUUUUA